UUUCUGUCACGCUGACUCUCUCGUUCUCUUUUUCAAACCCAGGGUAGUGGCGCUGCUGCACCGUCACCACCAUCCACCGCUGUUGACACUCUUCGUAUUCUCACAAGCGGAUAUGGAGGAGUUUUGGGGAUAGAGCGAAGAAGGAUGAAGAAAGUGACAACGGAAAUGAAGAACACGCCAUUGAUGGCUUCGCCAAAGACACUGCUUCAGUACAAAAACGGCAUUGCUGCAUUGGGAUCACCUCUCUAUUGAUGUCAUAGCUAAGGCUAAGCAAGUUUAACAAAGGCAAGAGAAGCUGAAGAAUAUUCCACAGUUGAAUGAAACUUCUACCACAGACUCUCAAGGAAUCACUCCUUUGGGUUCAAAGAAUGAGUCAUUUGUACCCUCUCUUCGUGUUGAAAAGCCAGAAGUCUUGAAAUCCAAAGGAGCAAAGUAAAUUCAGAGUAAAUUUGGAGAAGCUCAAGCAAAAUAGCAGAAAGCCAAACAAACGCAUUUGGCAAAGGUGAAGGUUGCUCCUAAUAUAAAUCCAAAUUUAAUAGAAAUGACAGAGAGGGUUGUGAUUAAAGAAAAACUCAAGGAUCCAAUUCCAGAAAUUGAGUGGUGGUAAGUUGCUGCCUACUUAGACUACUAGUUUCUAUUUGCCUACAGAAACUCCUGAUCAUGAAAGUGUCAAAAUUUUACUUGUUGCAUGGUAAAGUACUUAGUGAACUUUCAAGAAGUUACUGUUUGAGGUUAUAAAAACCUGAUUAUGGAAGUGUCGAAAGAUAUUGACCGUACUUAAAAGAAAUUUUAGUGUAAGUUCACCUUUCUGCUUUUAUCCCCUUUCAGAAAUUGGCAUUUUGCAUAUCCGAAUAUUCGAGUAUCCGAUUACGGUUUAUAAAUUAGAGUUAGGCUUAACUUGCCCGAUCUC